CCUACGGGUGGCAGCAGUGAGGAAUAUUGGUCAAUGGGCGGGAGCCUGAACCAGCCAAGCCGCGUGAGGGAAGAAGGUACAGCGUAUCGUAAACCUCUUUUGUCAGGGAACAAAGGCGGGGACUAGUCCCCGGAUGAGGGUACCUGAAGAAAAAGCAUCGGCUAACUCCGUGCCAGCAGCCGCGGUAAUACGGAGGAUGCGAGCGUUAUCCGGAUUUAUUGGGUUUAAAGGGUGGGCAGGCGGCCGUUUAAGUCAGCGGUAAAAGCACGGGGCUAAACCCCGGCGAGCCGUGGAAACUGGCGGGCUGGAGUGGGAGAGAGGUACGCGGAAUGCGCGGUGUAGCGGUGAAAUGCUUAGAUAUCGCGAAGAACCCCGAUGGCGAAGGCAGCGUACCGGCUCCACACUGACGCUGAGGCACGAAAGCGUGGGUAGCGAACAGGAUUAGAUACCCUGGUAGUC
rnacentral:rRNA from 1 species